GGGGUUUUAGCUCAGUGGUAGAGCGCUUGCCUAGCAAGCGCAAGGCCCUGGGUUCGGUCCCCAGCUCCG
rfam:Rattus norvegicus chromosome 9, whole genome shotgun sequence.